rnacentral:rRNA from 1 species
UCUGGCGACCAUAGCAACGGGGGAACACCCGUUCCCAUUCCGAACACGGUAGUUAAGCCCGUUCGCGCCGAUGAUACUGCCUUGGUAACGAGGUGGGAAAGUAGGUCGUUGCCAGAU